AGCAAGCGCAAUUAUGCAUCAUCAUCAUCCAGCCCACUGGGCAAAGUAAUGUGUGUAUGCCUACAGAGUCCUAUUUUGCAGUUAGUUAGUAUCUAUGUACGUGUGGCGCACCCAAAUAGGUGACCACAAGUGUUUAUUAACUGCAUUUGUAUUUUUAUAUGAUUCAUCUAGAACGGCACUAUGCCUAGUAGGACUUUUAUUUGUCAAUAUUAGAUUAUUACUGUAUUUUUAUAUUAUUACUCUAGGACGGCCUAGUGCCUAGUAGGAACAUAAGCGCGUGACACAGGAGGUGCAGUUGCGUCUGGGUUGCUAUGGGAGCGGACCACCGCUCUGCCCACAGAUGCACUUUGGAUGAAAAACUGACAAGAAGCAGCCUGUGUCAUCUCCUUGUUUUUCCACCUGUUUCACAGGUUCACCUUGGGCAGGAUGAACUGUUCCACAGGUUUAUAGCACACUCUGUUCACGCACGCUCCCGGACUGACGGUGCUGAACCUUGCCGUGACCACCGCCUCCUGCACAGAGGACACACACACAAAAAAAAUACAAGAACCUCUAGGAGACUCAUCUCUCCUGAGAACACUUCCACACUUCCUCUCCCAACGCCACUAAAACUCUGAAAUACACAGCUCACAAGUCAGAGCUCCAUGGACUUCUUUACCUGUUCUCCUUGCAUUAAGUCAAUAGAGAUAAUAAAUAGAGUUUAGAUAAUAAAUAAAGUCUCUCACUUGAA